AUUUUAUAGUAAAGAAAUUAAACUUUCCAUCUAGAAGUGGAACAAGAUAAGUUUACCCCCCCGUCCAGAAUCUAUCAGACAUUACAGAAGAAUUCUAGCUGACACACAGACCAAACAUCAGAACCACAAAGUCACAACUUUGGAUCCCCAGUGAAAUAAAUGAUUUGGGCAAAAAUUCCUAACAGCUAUGGAGAAAGCUUGAGCAGGACCUUUAUAAUGGAGGAGCCAAGCUGACAAUACCGAUGCCUCCAUCAGUAUUUCUUUUCUUUGUCUUUAAAGAAAGAAAGCAUCUCUAUUUGGAGACUCUUGUUCUUCAUCUUAUUGAUACACAUUCCUUCCACAUAGUCAUGGGGCUCCAUAGAAGUUGACACAGCACUGGAGCAUCCACCUCGCCCUCUGCACGCUCCACCCAACACACGUCCUGACAGCCACGGCGCCUGGCCUCCUGUGUCCUGCUCCUUUCCCCUGGCAUGUGCUCUCCGGCCCCAUCCACGUUGCUGCAAAUGACAGGAUUUCAUCCUUCAGUAAAAUGUUUGUCAACCCCUGUUGUGGAUGAAGCCCGUAAUAAAGGUCAAGAUUUUACAUUUCCUAAGGAAUAGAUAAGAUCAGAAACGGGGUGCCUGGGCUGGGCACGUCUUCGGAGGCUGCAGGCAGGCUGCGUCUGAAACCCUCCUGGAGCUGAGUACCCCGUCCUGCCUGCCUCACGUCCUUUGCUGGCUGGGGGUCAGAGGCACAGCUCCCCCCUGCAGGGGCCGUCCGGACAACCUGACAACCCGCUUCAACUAACGUCAGAAGUGCAAAGGAGCGAGAAGCCAAAGCCAUGGGCGUUUACACCCUCGCUUGCCGAGCAACAGCUCAUAUUGGAGUCUCUAAUUCACAGACCGAACCUCAGGCAGUGUCAGGACAGCAAGGGUCCCUGCAGCCUCCUGAGUGACCUGCAGGUUUCCCGUCCCUGCAGACACUGACCAUGGUGUCCACUCCACAGUGGAGUCUUCCUGCAUUUUUGCUUAAAUAAGUAAAUGUAGAACUAUGAGCGGGGCAGGCAGUGGUGGCAAUCGUGUGCAGUCCAGAUGCUAGGUGGGUGCUCGCUCCCUUAGACGCCGACUUGCGCAAAAGGGGAGAGGCCACAAGGGAAGAAAGUCUGAGCUCCUGGCCUUCCAGAACCCACUCUGCAACCAG
ensembl:lncRNA